GUAAAGCGCGUCUAGGUGGUUAUGUAAGUCUGAUGUGAAAAUGCAGGGCUUAACUCUGUAUUGCGUUGGAAACUGCAUGACUAGAGUACUGGAGAGGUAAGCGGAACUACAAGUGUAGAGGUGAAAUUCGUAGAUAUUUGUAGGAAUGCCGAUGGGGAAGCCAGCUUACUGGACAGAUACUGACGCUAAAGCGCGAAAGCGUGGGUAGCAAACAGGAUUAGAUACCCUGGUAGUCCACGCCGUAAACGAUGAUUACUAGGUGUUGGGGGUCGAACCUCAGCGCCCAAGCUAACGCGAUAAGUAAUCCGCCUGGGGAGUACGUACGCAAGUAUGAAACUCAAAGGAAUUGACGGGGACCCGCACAAGCGGUGGAGCAUGUGGUUUAAUUCGACGCAACGCGAGGAACCUUACCAGCGUUUGACAUC
rnacentral:rRNA from 1 species